UCCCUGGUGGUUAAGCGGCUAAGAAUCCUGUGCUCUCACUGGUGUGGGCUGGGUUCGAUUCCCAGCCAGGGAA